rnacentral:rRNA from 1 species
UACGACGGGGGCUAGCGUUGCUCGGAAUUACUGGGCGUAAAGGGCGCGUAGGCGGCACUGUUAGUCAGGCGUGAAAUUCCUGGGCUCAACCUGGGGACUGCGCUUGAUACGGCAGAGCUAGAGGAUGGAAGAGGCUCGCGGAAUUCCCAGUGUAGAGGUGAAAUUCGUAGAUAUUGGGAAGAACACCGGUGGCGAAGGCGGCGAGCUGGUCCAUUACUGACGCUGAGGCGCGACAGCGUGGGGAGCAAACAGG